rnacentral:rRNA from 1 species
UGAAUACGAGAUGCUACGGCGUCGAAGCAGUCUAUGUCAUACCUCCAAGAAAAGCUUGCACUGUCAUAAACAAAUAAUGCCUGUACCAUAACCGACACAGGUGGGUAGGUAGAGUAUACUAAGGGGCGCGAGAUAACUCUCUCUAAGGAACUCGGCAAAAUGACUCCGUAACUUCGGGAGAAGGAGUGCCUUAUUUUAUAAGGUUGCAAUAACAAGAUCCAAGCAACUGUUUACCAAAAACACAGGUCUCCGCUAAGUCGUAAGACGAUGUAUGGGGGCUGACGCCUGCCCAGUGCCAGAAGGUUAAAGAAGUUGGUUAGCAUCCGCGAAGCUGAUAACUGAAGCCCUGGUGAACGGCGGCCGUAACAAUAACGGUCCUAAGGUAGCGAAAUUCCUUGUCGGGUAAGUUCCGACCCGCACGAAAGGCGUAAUGAUUUGGAUACUGUCUCAGAGAGGGGCUCGGUGAAAUAGACUUGUCUGUGAAGAUGCGGACUACCUGCACCAGGACAGAAAGACCCUAUGAAGCUUUACUGUAACUUGAAAUUGAAAUUGGACUUUACUUGCGCAGUAUAGGUGGGAGGCGUUGAGAAUAUUCUUGCGGGAAUGUUGGAGCCAUCAGUGAGAUACCACUCUUGUAAUGUUAGAUUUCUAACUUUGCAUCAUUAUCUGGUCAAAGGACAGUUUCAGGCGGGCAGUUUGACUGGGGCGGUCGCCUCCCAAACGGUAACGGAGGCGCACAAAGGUUUCCUCUGAACGGGUAGAAAUCGUAUCUAGAGUGUAAAGGCAUAAGGAAGCUUGACUGUGAGACCUACAAGUCGAGCAGGGACGAAAGUCGGUCUUAGUGAUCUGACGGUGCUGAGUGGAAAGGCCGUCACUCAACGGAUAAAAGUUACUCUAAGGAUAACAGGCUGAUCUCCCCCAAGAGUUCACAUCGACGGGGAGGUUUGGCACCUCGAUGUCGGCUCAUCGCAUCCUGGGGCGGUAGUACGUCCCAAGGGUUGGGCUGUUCGCCCAUGAAAGCGGUACGCGAGCUGGGUUCAGAACGUCGUGAGACAGUUCGGUCCAUAUCCGGUGUAGGCGUUAGAAUAUUGAGAGGAGCCUUCUUUAGUACGAGAGGACCGAGAAGGACAUACCUCUGGUGUACCAGUUAUCGUGCCAACGGUAAACGCUGGGUAGCUAUGUAUGGAGUGGAUAACCGCUGAAAGCAUCUAAGUGGGAAGCCCACCUC